rnacentral:rRNA from 1 species
UAGGGAAUAUUGGUCAAUGGGGGCAACCCUGAACCAGCCAUGCCGCGUGCAGGAAGACUGCCCUAUGGGUUGUAAACUGCUUUUGUACGGGAAGAAAUCAAUCUACGUGUAGGUUGUUGACGGUACCGUGAGAAUAAGGAUCGGCUAACUUCGUGCCAGCAGCCGCGGUAAUACGAAGGAUCCAAGCGUUGUCCGGAUUUACUGGGUUUAAAGGGUGCGUAGGCGGUUUAAUAAGUCAGUGGUGAAAGCCUUCAGCUUAACUGAAUAAUUGCCAUUGAAACUGUUAAACUCGAGUAUGGUUGAGGUCACUGGAAUGUAACAUGUAGCGGUGAAAUGCUUAAAUAUGUUACAGAACACCAAUUGCGAAGGCAGGUGACUAAGCCAUAACUGACGCUGAGGCACGAAAGCGUGGGGAGCAAACAGGAUUAAAUACCCUGGUAGUCCACGCCCUAAACGUUGAAUACUCGGUCUUGGCGAUAUACAGUCAGGGCCCAAGCGAAAGCGUUAAGUAUUCCACCUGGGAAGUACGUUCGCAAGAAUG